rnacentral:tRNA from 1 species
ACCCAGGUGGCUCAGUUGAAGAGCAUGCGACUCUUGAUCUCAGGGUCAUGAGUUCAAGCCCCACUUUAGGUG